AGUACAAACAUACCCAGUCUAGGCUCAGAAUGAGCUGCAGCAACUGGAUAAAUCUGCUGGGACCAUGAAGAAUUCAAAUGGUUAAUUUGGGUUAAAAGUCUCUCUGCAGGUGGAAUGCCUCCUGUCCCUCAAGUGGCUCAGCAGAUCAUCCAGGAGGAAAACCAGCAGCAAAAUGGACCAAAUUUGUCAAAUCUGCUCAAUUCCUUACACAGCAGGAACCCAGCUCUGCCCCAGCAGGUACAACCAGCAGAAUGGGAUAAGAACCAUGUGCUUGUGCUCCCAGCUCCAGUUCCCUCACAACAACAGGAAAAUGAAAUUCUGCAGCAAACAGCAGCACUGAGGAAAGAAAGUUUAUAACUCUGAAACCUCUGCCCAAACUCCACGAGGCCCCACAGCACAAAUCACACCAUGAUUUUUUUCUUUUGGAGGAAAUGCAGUGGAUGGCAACAGAUUUUUUUCAAGAAAGAAGAUGGAAGAUAACUGCCAAGAGAGUAAUGUGAAUAUGAUAUUUUAAAUAAAUAAUAGGCAGCAUUUACAUGGUUAGGAUGUGAUCACUGAGGACCUGGGAGUUUGAGGUUGCCUCUCCACUUUUGUAAACUUU